UUAAGCCUUUUGUGUGAUGGUUUAUCAUCUGAUUGGGUUCUAUAUUUGAGCUUAUGGAUUGGUUCAUGGUGGAUUUGAUUUUGCACUCAGAGUUGCUUGGGUGAAACUGAUGACUCUGUGCAUUGCAGUACUACAACAACAAAAUGGCGGAAUUACAUCUAUUCGUGGACUUUGAAAUAGAAACAAGGCUUGUCAUUGGCCUUGCUGUUGUCGUGGGAUAGAGCCAGCGUAUAUGUACAAAAAGUUACGAAAUAUACAAUAAAGGUGUUCUAUGACGUUCAGUGUUCGUAAAUAUCUUUUGAAGAACAACACUGGAUGUUGACUGACUUUGAAGGUGCUACAAGAAAAAUGAAGUAAGGUUACGCAUCUGGUCUAGCAAAGAGAAAAGGUUUGAAGCUGCAUUUGGAGACUCAUGUGUUUGGCUUGUGAGCUUGAUUUGCUUCCCUAGGCUUCCAUGAAAAUUUUGAUCUAGGAUGCAGUGAUUUGAGGUGUAACUUUGCGCUUACUAGAUCUCUCAACUCAAUCUUAGAUGAAGUCGGUUUUAGCAGAACAUGACUAUAUGUAAAGACCUAUCCAAACUCUUUUGAACAAUGAGCAGCUCAGUAUUGUCGAUAUUUUGAUGUUUUGACUGCUACUUGAUUUAUUAAAAUAUGGCCAAUAUUUUGACAUGACAAACAGCAUAAAAAAACAUGUUAUUAUCCUAUUUUUUGUUACUUAGACUUGCUAAACAAAGCAAGAUACCACUAUUUAGAUCUCCAUGUCAAUAUAAAUAGUACCAUUUUUCCUA